rnacentral:rRNA from 1 species
CCUACGGGUGGCAGCAGUGAGGAAUAUUGGUCAAUGGACGAAAGUCUGAACCAGCCAUGUAGCGUGCAGGAAGACGGCUCUAUGGGUUGUAAACUGCUUUUAUAAGGGGAUAAAAGCAGACACGCGUGCCUGUCUGUAUGUACUGUAUGAAUAAGGAUCGGCUAACUCCGUGCCAGCAGCCGCGGUAAUACGGAGGAUUCGAGCGUUAUCCGGAUUUAUUGGGUUUAAAGGGAGCGUAGGUGGGUGGUUAAGUCAGUGGUGAAAGUUUGAGGCUCAACCUUGGAACUGCAAUUGAUACUGGCAGUCUAGAGUUCAGUUGCGGUAGGCGGAAUGCAUGGUGUAGCGGUGAAAUGCAUAGAGAUCACACAGAACACCGAUUGCGAAGGCAGCUUACUAAACUGCGACUGACGUUGAGGCUCGAAAGUGUGGGUAUCAAACAGGAUUAGAUACCCCUGUAGUC